AGGUGGGGAGACCCCAGCUCACAUCUCAUCUGUCGGGGCUGGCUCCCGUACAAGAAAAUGCAUCUUCCUUCCUUUGAGUUGUAGAUGGAGAGAGAAGGGAAUUCCAGAGCACCGAGAGAGGCCAGAUGGCUGGCCACAAUCAUUCAGCUUCACAAAAGGCCGGGCAUCCACAUCAAGAUCCCACUUUUAGUGAGUUCAUUCUUCUCUGGCAGAGGGGUUCUGUUUUGUUUUUGUUUUUUUCAGAGAGGAUUUUUAAAUGGAAUAAAUUGAGUUUGGGAAAUAA